GUGGGGAAUAUUGGACAAUGGGGGGAACCCUGAUCCAGCCAUGCCGCGUGUGUGAAGAAGGCCUUUUGGUUGUAAAGCACUUUAAGCGAGGAGGAGGCUACCGAGAUUAAUACUCUUGGAUAGUGGACGUUACUCGCAGAAUAAGCACCGGCUAACUCUGUGCCAGCAGCCGCGGUAAUACAGAGGGUGCGAGCGUUAAUCGGAUUUACUGGGCGUAAAGCGUGCGUAGGCGGCUUUUUAAGUCGGAUGUGAAAUCCCCGAGCUUAACUUGGGAAUUGCAUUCGAUACUGGGAAGCUAGAGUAUGGGAGAGGAUGGUAGAAUUCCAGGUGUAGCGGUGAAAUGCGUAGAGAUCUGGAGGAAUACCGAUGGCGAAGGCAGCCAUCUGGCCUAAUACUGACGCUGAGGUACGAAAGCAUGGGGAGCAAACAGGAUUAGAUACCCUGGUAGUCC
rnacentral:rRNA from 1 species